CACGUCUGUACUCCCAGAGCCUUGGGAGGUCGAGGCGGGAAGAUCGCUUGAGCCCGGGAGCUCGAGACCAGACGCGGCAACAUGGCGAGACGCACAUCUCUGCCUUUAAAAAUGUACAUAUAUAUAUAUAUAUAUGAACGUAUUAAUAAAUUAGGUGGGAGGAAGUGACCUCCUCCGCCCAAAUAAAAAUACUUAAAGGGCACUUGAAUCUGGAUCUCAGAAAAUGAAUAAUUUCUUAGUAUAAACGUCCUGUGCACCAUUUGGUUGGGACAAGUAAGUUCCUCUUCAGAAACUCAACUUCCAGGUCUAAAGUUGUCAAUCAACCUUACCCCCUUCUUCUUUCCUCGCAGGUGGCGCGUUUACCCUAUUUUAAAAAAGUUUUAAGUUUUAGCCAACCGGGAUCAGCUUAGAUUGUGGGCGUCCAACCCCAGCCAACAGGGAAAGGACAGAGGAACAGAAGCUCCCUUCCUUUGUCCCGUGUGCUCUGGAGAUUGCAUCCCACGCAGGCAGCCCCCUUCCGUACAAGAGAGGCUGGCGGUUACCUUUCUUGGGGAGACGCGUCCGACUGCUUCAUUGUGGGGGCCUCAGGAGCGGAGGAUCGGGUCCCGCCCGAGGUGACGCGUAAACCCAGACUCUCAGCAACGCGGGUAGGAAGGACCCUUGAAGUUCCGCGGCGACCACGUCGGCUGAAACCAGCAGCCCAGGACAAGUGGACCAGCCAGCAAGACCCAGACCAUCCAAACCGGCUGAUCCUACGACAGGACCCAGAUGCCAGUGAAAGUGACCACAGCCCUGCUCUAGUCACCCCGGAAGCUGACCAGUCUACGCACGGCCGAAGCUUCGUCAAGGAAGUAAAUGCCUCCACCCCUCGAAUUCCCAGUUCACCGACACCAGCCUGGGGAUCACCUCCUUGUCAGAAGUUGGAAAGAGGAAAAACUCAGCCAACCUGGGAAGGACUUUAUCGGGUGCUCCUGACCACCAAGAUGACGGUCGGAAAGGGCCCCAUCCCUGGAGGGAUCUUGGACCUUCACUCCAGGAUCAACGCCUUCCAAAUUAACAUUCAAAAAGGUUUAAUCUGUCUCUUCCUUCUCCCUGUAGCCGCCCAAGGACGUCUUAUUAUCAAUAUAAGGUGAUCACCCUUUCCCCAGCUAGUUUCGUUUGAUGCCUGUCUGGUUCAUAUACCCCGUAAAGAUAUCCACAGCCAAAGACAGCCUCUUCUGAAGAAAAUCCUUGGCCCAGCCCUUGUAGUAACCGGUACCCUGGGGUGCCAUUCCCUGUUGAAAUUCGCUCAGGAUGGUGGCAGAAAUAUUAAAGGGAAACAUUAGGUAAAGUUAGAGAAAAUAGUCACAAACCGGCCGGGCGUGGUGGCUCACGCCUGUCAUCCUAGCACUUCGGGAGGCCGAGGCAGGAGGAUCACGAGGUCAGGAGAUCGAGACAAUCCCGGCUAACAUGGUGAAACCCCGUCUCUACUAAAAAUACAAAAAAUUAGCCGGGCGUGGUGGCGGGCGCCUGUAAUCUCAGCUACUUGGGAGGCUGAGGCAGGAGAAUUGCUUGAACCUGGGAGGCGGAGGUUGCAGUGAGCCAAGAUCACGCCAUUGCACUCCAGCCUGGGCUACAAGAGCGAAACUCCG
rnacentral:lncRNA from 1 species